GAAAUGAGUUGUAGUAACCAAACUUCCUUUUUCCUAUUUUUAAUAUCAAACAAUCGCUUUCCUUUUUCUUUUAUUUACCCUCACAUUUCUCACUUCCUCGUCGUUCAUCUUCCUUCCAAUUUCUCCGGCCAUUUCUCUCCGCCGACACUUCUCCUUCAUUCCAAAUUUCAAGCAAAGGGGUAGCUGAACCCACUACUCUCUCUUUCUCUCUUCUUUCAUCACUCUUACCCAUGUUCGCCCUCAAAGACAAAGUUACCGACACCCUUUCCCGUCUUUUCGCCGAUUCGCCUGAUUCACCUUCUCAUUCCUCAACUCCACUCCACGGUGACCCUUCUCCGGGCAGCAGGUCAUUCUCUAAAGAAGGAAAUGCUUUGUCUUCCUACUUUUCCUAUAUUCUCCCGUUCUCGGGUUUUGAAGGACCCAAAUCAACCCAACCUCAGAAAAAUUACAAGUUACAUCAGCCUCGCCCCGUGCCAUAUGAUAUUGUCAAUUUUGAUUCUCUAGAACCAUUAGAGUGCAGUUUAGUGUGUGAGAACAAAGGCAUCCGAGACAAUGAGGAAGAUUUUGAUGACUCUUUCUCUGGAAGGAGUACCAGUAGUUCUGAAGUAUUUGAAGAAGCAACUUGCCAAAGUAGUCCAGAAAAGAUUGUGACAAAUCUCACGGUUGAUUCUGUUCUGAUUUCCACUGACACCUAUGAUUUCCUGCUACAACGUCUUCCUAAUAUCGUGAAAGGGCGACAAUGGAUCUUGUUAUAUAGUACAUUGAGACAUGGCAUAUCUCUUCGAACACUCAUUCGCAAAAGUGGUGAACUUUCUGGUCCUUGUUUGCUGGUUGUUGGUGAUCAGCAGGGUGCUGUGUUUGGUGGUCUUCUAGAAUGCCCACUGAAGCCUACUGCAAAGAGAAAAUACCAAGGAACAAAUCAAACUUUUGUCUUUACCACCAUGUAUGGUGAACCACAGCUCUUCAGACCAACCGAAUGCACGAAUAGUGAUGGUGAGAAAUGGCUGCAGAUAUCUUACAUAUGCAUCUGUCUAAUGAAAUUGAGAUGGAGCAAACCGCUAUUUCUACAUGUGUAUGGAUGAUUUACUAGCACUUGGUGGUGGCAGUAACUUUGCAUUACGGCUCGAAGAAGAUCUAUUGAAUGGAACCAGUGGACCAUGUGAGACGUUUGGUAACUCAUGCUUGGCACAUACCCAGGAGUUUGAGUUGAAGAAUGUUGAGCUCUGGGGUUUUGCUCAUGUUUCGCAAUACGUUUCUUGACGAAGAUGGGAUGGAAUGUUUUGCAGUUUGUUAAGCAUUAAGUUAUUGGUUAAGCAUUAUUUACAUUCUCCAGUAUUCUUUUCAUUUUUCCACUUUCAAAUUUAGAUUCUCAGAUUCAAAUGUCUUUAGCAUCUUAUAAUUAGCGAGAAGGGCAAUAAUAGAUUGGUUCUUUAAAUUAACAUCAUACACAGGCAGUUUCACAUUCAAUUUUAAUUGUGGUUUGUAUGUGAACAACAGAAUCACUCUUUCGAAAUUCAUGGACUUUUCAAUACAUACAGUUCCCUUAUCCGGGAGAUGAUACUAAA